rnacentral:misc_RNA from 1 species
AUUCGGUAUCAUGUUCAAAACACGAUGUUCUUUAUCUCAAUACAAUACUUUUAUCACCAACUCUUUGUGUGAAUAUCUACGAAUAUUUUGAUCAGAUUGGACCAGGUCGCAAUGAACCAGUAUAAAGUUGUUCUAAUUGGAGAUGUUGGAGUAGGGAAAAGUUCUCUUCUACGAAAGUUGCGGUCUCUUCAGGUCCACCAAGAGUACAAGCCAACAGUUGGGGUUACAUGUACCUACUUUAGCUUCCCAAAUGAUACCCAACUUUAUGUCCUCGAUGCCUCUGGAUCUCCUACAUAUCGAUAUCUUACUCAGUUAUACCUUCGAAGUCUUGAUGCUCUCAUAUUUGUGUUCGCUUUAAAUGACACAAACAGUCUGCAAAACCUCAAAGAAUGGAACCAAACAUUUACCAAAGUGUUCGAAGCAGAUUCCAAAGAGGUUUCUAAGUAUGUGCUUGGGACCAAAUUAGACGUUCAAACCAUCGAGCUUCAAAAGGAAGGCCAGGUUUUUGCAGAGAGUAUCGGAGCUAAAUUUCACAUUGCAUCUUCCGUAACUGGGAUGAAUGUAAAAGAUUUUUUUUCACAUGUCUCAGAACAACUUCUUCAGUAUAAAAGCUCGGUGUUUGAGUCGCGGGACGAGUGUGACUCGAGCAAGUUGUCGCCGCUGCACGUUAAAGACGUGUUAAUGGAUGGAAGCAUCUUGGGAAAGACGUUUCUGGAUCCCAUACUGCUGGAUACAUCAGGCGAGGAAGUUUCUUAUGUGAAGGUAGAAUACGAAGGAAUUUCCUUUGUAAAUAAGGAUAAAUCCUUUGCUUGGAGGCCGUCUCUAACCGACAGUUGCUGUAGUUUCGUUGCGGAUGACAUGGCAUCCCUAAAAACAACGGCCGUUCGUCCAAAUUCACUCCUAAGAGCCAUGGAAAUUCAAGAACCUGUGAGUGUUUGGCAACAUGGGUGGCUUGAAAACGUCUACGAAGUUGGNGCCGCCAUAAGGAGGCAGCCCACAGUAACCGAGCUCAAAGGAAUCCAGGACAUGGUAUUCUGCUCCCGGACUGAGAGUGGGCUGGAAAAAAAGAAUGGCUUCUUCUACAUGAUCCAACUGACCGAAGACAACGAUAUUCUAGAAAGUGGUUUAAACUUUCCAAAACAACUGACAAAUAAAAAGACAGAAAUCGUUCAAAAUCAUUUUGUAUCAAACCCAAAGCUAGUUAAGUUUCAAGAUGAGAUUAAAACAUCAUCCAUUAGCCUGACAAACGGUGUGGCAGUGGUUGCCCUCCAAGAUGGAACGGUACUUUACCUAGGUUGCAACCUCCUAGAUGAUGACUUCAAGGUGGACAGAAAUCUUCCUAAGCAUUUUGGGUUUGGUCAAACCCCGACGCCAGUUCGACUCAAAAUAAAAGUCACUCAAGUAACAUGUGGACUGGACUUUGUCCUGAUGUUGGCAAAAGAUGGCAACGUUUAUUCUCAUGGUUCUUCUGAAUUUGGUUGCCUUGGACAUGGGGACUUGAAGGAACAAUCUAGACCAGAAGUGAUAAGAAGUCUAAAGUACAUCAGCAGCAUAGCAGCAGGGUAUCACCACGCCCUGGCCUUGGACAGUUACGGAACGCUGUACUCCUGGGGCGUCAACGAUGUUACAAAAAAAACUGUUUCCAAACCUGAAUCAGUGUACGCAAUGAGUGCCACUAAAGUCAGUUCCAUAGCAUGUGGGGCAUUUCAUUCUUUGUGUAUUGGUGAAGGAUAUGCCUUGAUGGGGAACUUCCGCAAGAGAUCAGUCUUCUCUUGGGGACUAGGAACAAAUGGAGCCUUGGGUCAUCUUGUCAAUCGAGACGUUCCUGAACCAAGACUUAUCCUGCACAUAUUUAAUAAGCCGAAUAAACUCAUCAAAAGUGUUUCUGCGGGAAGAAACCAUACUGCUUUUCUGACUGACGAUGGCAUGCUUUACACCUGCGGGUUGAAUAAUAACGGCCAACUGGGUUACUUCGUUGAAGGCAAAAUCCAUGGACAGCCAAAGAAGGUAGAAAUGGGGAAGAAUGGCAUGGGGAUUGAGACCAGAGCUCACAGGGUCAUUUGUUCGGAAGAUUGUACAAUAGUCACAACUGAAGAAAAACGUGUGAUGGCCUGGGGCAAGUUUAGCUACGGCCCAAAUAUCUACGACCCCACCCCUCUACAAAAUAUCAGCGUAGACAUCAUUGACGUCACUACUUGUAUACUCCCUGAAAGUAAAGGAAAAGCCUCGUGCGAGUUGAUAAUUGCCUUGGCAAGCGGUAGUAGGAUGGUGUUGUGUACAGGUGUAACAAAUGGCGCAGCAUAUGACUAUCAGGAUUUACCGUGGCCGGAUAAAGCCAUCAUUCCUUGUGACAUCAGUGAUUUAGUCCGAAUCGUAUCAGUUGGUGGUUUGAUAAUAGCGUUUGACAAUAUGAAUGUUUGCUAUUACGCUGACGUGCACAGUUGGGUGAAAAACUUGGUCGGGGAAGAGGUUCUUUCAUCUAGCGAACAGAGGAUCAUGCAUAAAAUAUGCUGUGCAGUGGAAAAACUGGAGGCUCAAAAUAUUCCUGCUCUUGCCUUCCAACACCUUGAAGUUCAGGACAAAGUCUUUCAGAUAGAAGCGUCCUUGAAUUCGUUUCUGUUGCGGUCCGAAAGGGGAGAUGUCUUUAGUUGGACUCCAUACCAAGGAAGUGCAGUGCAUCAGCACAUUGAACUGGACGAUCAAAUAGUGGUUCAAAUUGGGUGUGGGUUGCAGCAUUUUGCCGCCCUGACAAACACUGGUCUCUUGUUCACGUGUGGCGUUGGCUAUCAUGCGCAACUGGGACACGGAGACUUGAAGAACAGGAUAUCUUUGAGAUGAUUCCUCUUUGUGAGUUUGAACAAAUCAAAUCCGUUAGUUGUGGACAAGUCGGCACUGCAGUUAUUUCGGUAACAGGAAAGGUGUAUUUCUGGGGUCAGCUUCAGAUUUCCAAAGAAGAAAAACAACACGAAGAAAGAAUGCUUUUGAACUCCAUGAAAACCUGCCCCGAGAUAAGCCCGUUUUUGUGCAUGGAUUCCUUUACC